UAAAAACCGUAAAGAACAUUCAAUUUGUUCUAUUUGGAGAAAGAUUUUACUGGAAAUAUAAAUUUUCACUUAAAAGAUGUUUUAUGGGGUGCAGAGGUAGAGAAACCGUCUAAAGAACACAGCCAUUAUUUCUGUGAACUGAGGAUUUCUGUGCUCAAGUCUGAACCUGCUGUUUCUUUUCCGUCUGAAGUCUUCAUUCUCUCCUUGUAUUAACUUAGUCAUCUCCACAGCAACUAAUUGACAUAUCCCAAAGGAUUAUAACCUUGUGUGAGGAACCACCAGGAGGAGCAGAUCAAAUUUAAAAACUACAAAGGUUCUUAUCAAAGUUUUUCUAAUAAUAGUGCUGUACUUAAAAAUCGAUUAAAUAUAGCAGCGGAUGUUAACACAACUUCCUCGAAAUGGAAAGUUGCCCAUUGUCUGUGUUAUCAACAUUUCUAGGUCACAUCUCCCAAGAAGCAGUAAUGUUCCAGCAAUAAGAAAAGGACAGUUUUUUGUCUUUUGCAUGGUGAGCCUUAUAUGAAUUACAUCAAUUUUGUCACCAAUAUCCAUCAUCAGAACAUUUUGAUUCUACAUAACACAUUGCAAAUGGUCACAACAAUCAAGACUAUAUCCAUAGAUGUCCCAGAAAUAAUAUCUGACUAUACAGAGCAGCAUUACCAAGCCACCAAGAAGUCUGCCUAGUAAUGACAAUGAUAACAACAGCUAACACUUAUCAACAGAGCAGAGGAACAGAGCCACAGAUAACUGAAAACCACUUUGGCACUGAGGAGGUAUGCAGACAAGAUCUGGAAGGGAAUCUAGAAAAAUG
rnacentral:lncRNA from 10 species